rnacentral:rRNA from 1 species
AUUGAACGCUGGCGGCAUGCCUUACACAUGCAAGUAGAACGGCAGCACGGGAGCAAUCCUGGUGGCGAGUGGCGAACGGGUGAGUAAUAUAUCGGAACGUGCCCAGUCGUGGGGGAUAACGUAGCGAAAGCUACGCUAAUACCGCAUACGAUCUAUGGAUGAAAGCGGGGGAUCGCAAGACCUCGCGCGAUUGGAGCGGCCGAUAUCAGAUUAGGUAGUUGGUGAGGUAAAGGCUCACCAAGCCGACGAUCUGUAGCUGGUCUGAGAGGACGACCCAGCCACACUGGGACUGAGACACGGCCCAGACUCCUACGGGAGGCAGCAGUGGGGAAUUUUGGACAAUGGGCGCAAGCCUGAUCCAGCAAUGCCGCGUGCAGGAUGAAGGCCUUCGGGUUGUAAACUGCUUUUGUACGGAACGAAACGGUGAGCUCUAAUACAGUUUGCUAAUGACGGUACCGUAAGAAUAAGCACCGGCUAACUACGUG